GACGAACGCUGGCGGCGUGCUUAACACAUGCAAGUCGAACGAUGAUGCUGGAGCUUGCUCCAGUUGAUUAGUGGCGAACGGGUGAGUAACACGUGAGCAAUCUGCCCUUGACUCUGGGAUAACUGCGGGAAACUGUAGCUAAUACCGGAUACUUUCACCGGAAGGCAUCUUUUGGUGAUGAAAGAAUUUCGGUCAGGGAUGAGCUCGCGGCCUAUCAGCUUGUUGGUGAGGUAACGGCUCACCAAGGCGACGACGGGUAACCGGCCUGAGAGGGUGACCGGUCACACUGGGACUGAGACACGGCCCAGACUCCUACGGGAGGCAGUAGUGGGGAAUAUUGCACAAUGGGCGCAAGCCUGAUGCAGCAACGCCGCGUGAGGGAUGAAGGCCUUCGGGUUGUAAACCUCUUUUAGCAGGGAAGAAGCGAAAGUGACGGUACCUGCAGAAAAAGCACCGGCUAACUACGUGCCAGCAGCCGCAGUAA
rnacentral:rRNA from 1 species